AUUGAACGCUGGCGGCAUGCCUUACACAUGCAAGUCGAGCGGCAGCGCGGGGGCAACCCUGGCGGCGAGCGGCGAACGGGUGAGUAAUGCAUCGGAACGUGUCCUCUUGUGGGGGAUAACCAGUCGAAAGACUGGCUAAUACCGCAUGAGAUCGCAAGAUGAAAGCAGGGGACCCGCAAGGGCCUUGCGCGAGAGGAGCGGCCGAUGCCUGAUUAGCUAGUUGGUGGGGUAAAAGCCUACCAAGGCGACGAUCAGUAGCUGGUCUGAGAGGACGACCAGCCACACUGGGACUGAGACACGGCCCAGACUCCUACGGGAGGCAGCAGUGGGGAAUUUUGGACAAUGGGGGCAACCCUGAUCCAGCCAUGCCGCGUGUGCGAAGAAGGCCUUCGGGUUGUAAAGCACUUUCGGCCGGAACGAAAUCGUCACCGUUAAUAGCGGUGAUGGAUGACGGUACCGGAAGAAGAGGCACCGGCUAACUACGUGCCAGCCGCCGCCGCGG
rnacentral:rRNA from 1 species